rnacentral:rRNA from 1 species
UACAGAGGAGCCAAGCGUUGUCCGGAUUGACUGGGCGUAAAGCGCACGCAGGCGGAUGCGCGCGUGGGGUGUGAAAUCUGGCCGCUUAACGGCCAGGCGCCAUCCCAUACGGCGCGUCUGGAGUGAUGCAGGGGUCGAUGGAAUUGCCGGUGUAGUGGCGAAAUGCGUAGAGAUCGGCAGGAACACCCAGGGGGAAACCAGUCGACUGGGCAUCUACUGACGCUGAGGUGCGAGAGCGUGGGGAGCGAACCGG